rnacentral:rRNA from 1 species
UACGAAGGGUGCAAACGUUGCUCGGAAUCAUUGGGCGUAAAGCGCACGUAGGCGGCUUCGCAAGUCGGAUGUGAAAUCCCUCGGCUCAACCGAGGACGUGCAUACGAAACUGCGGAGCUUGAGUGCUGAAGAGGAUCGCGGAAUUCCCGGUGUAGAGGUGAAAUUCGUAGAUAUCGGGAGGAACACCAGUGGCGAAGGCGGCGAUCUGGGCAGACACUGACGCUGAGGUGCGAGAGCGUGGGGAGCAAACAGG